rnacentral:rRNA from 1 species
UAAAGAUUCAUCGCUGAUAGAUAGGCAUGCGUUCCAUUAGGCAGUUGGCGGGGUAACGGCCCACCAAACCGACGAUGGAUAGGGGUUCUGAGAGGAAGGUCCCCCACAUUGGUACUGAGACACGGACCAAACUCCUACGGGAGGCAGCAGUGAGGAAUAUUGGUCAAUGGGCGUAAGCCUGAACCAGCCAAGUCGCGUGAGGGAUGAAGGUUCUAUGGAUCGUAAACCUCUUUUAUAAGGGAAUAAAGUGCGGGACGUGUCCCGUUUUGUAUGUACCUUAUGAAUAAGGAUCGGCUAACUCCGUGCCAGCAGCCGCGGUAAUACGGAGGAUCCGAGCGUUAUCCGGAUUUAUUGGGUUUAAAGGGUGCGUAGGCGGCCUUUUAAGUCAGCGGUGAAAGUCUGUGGCUCAACCAUAGAAUUGCCGUUGAAACUGGGAGGCUUGAGUAUGUUUGAGGCAGGCGGAAUGCGCGGUGUAGCGGUGAAAUGCUUAGAUAUCACGCAGAACCCCGAUUGCGAAGGCAGCCUGCCAAGCCAUGACUGACGCUGAUGCACGAAAGCGUGGGGAUCAAACAGGAUUAGAUACCCUGGUAGUCCACGCAGUAAACGAUGAUCACUAGCUGUUUGCGAUACACAGUAA